rfam:Hordeum vulgare subsp. vulgare, WGS project CAJW01000000 data, contig: morex_contig_117960
CCGCUGGAUGAUGAUCAGCUUAUCUCUCACAUCCUCGCCGACCUCGACAUGGAAUACCAACCCCUGGUGUCAGCUCUUGACGCCCGCACCACCCCUGUCACGCUCGAUGAGCUCUUUGCUCAGAUGAGUAAUUUUGAUC